GGAUAAAAAGGCUGCUAAACAACAAGACUCAAGGAAAUGAGUCAAGUUCAGAAAAAGGAGGCACAAAAGAUUUAAGGCAAAAAGCUGAACAGCAUAGAUAAUGCACACUCUACAAAGAUAAACAGUUCCAGCGUCUGUAUAUGGCUGGCUGUUUCAAGUAAGUGUCGGGUAUGAGAGGAAACAGGAGGCAGAGAACGGGAAGGGAACGGAUACCGACUCCCAGCCCUAAGGAAAUGUGUUCAGGGCAGAAAAGAGUCAAGUGUGAGAGAUGAACCGUACUCAUUUACUCAGGCAACACUAUUAUUAACAUCCCAAACACUUCUCUUGUCCUCAGAAAGGGUGCCCUGGCUCACCUUGAACAGUUCCUGUGUGCAGAGGGGCAGGGAUUUAAAAGAAGGAAGACUUUGGGGAAAUGACUGCCACAUGCAGAGGCUCAAAUACACCAUUGUAACAUCUGCCUGGAUGGAGGACUCUAUCAGAUAGUGGGAUUCAUUCCCCAUCUAUUCACUUCCCAUAUAAACACUUCUAGUGGCAUUUUUCACAGAUCUGCUCCUGGAGAGCUGGCACAACUUCGUGCAGCAAUACAUGAGCACCACAGUAGCACUUCUGUGUUCCAUGUACAAAGACACCAAUGAAUACAGGCCUAUGACAAGUCUCACUGCAUCUCUGACAUUAAGCUGCAAAAAAACAGUUUCAGCCAAAAACUGAAUGCUGGCCAAUCAAAAGCUAUGAAAUAGUACUCAUUCACAAUAUUGGCAACAUUUUUUUAUUAGUCCCUAAAACAUGGGACGAAUAAAAAUGUUUCUUAAAGGAUGUAUAUGUCUGCAAAGUCAAAGAGAGGAAGGAACAGACCACAGCACUUCAAUAUAUGUCAGAUCUUCAGUCAAAGUCUCUCCAGCAGCUUGGUAAAAAAGCUGCUUUUAGGUGUUCCUCUCCUCAGGGCAGUGUUUAAGUGUUUAUGGAAACACAAGUGGAGUCCUAGACCAUCCACACAAUUAGCCCCUGUCUCAAAACAGAUGUGUGCUGGUAAAUAACUGAGACUACUUCUAGCAUCCUACAUAAUUUUAUGGAGAUGACCUAAUUGUUCCACAAAACUGUGAAAAUAUUUCCAACCUAAAUUUAGCUAUUUUCAGUCUCAUAGCUGGGAUUUCUGUUAAGGUGACCUCUUUACAGACUUUCCAUCACGGACUGCUAUGUUCAUGAUAUGACUUAUCAUCAUAGAUAGGGACAAAUAACUUUUCCAUUCCAUUUUAUGCCAGAUUGAAACAAAGCUACAUGUAUUAUCUGAUUAAGCCUUGUAAAAAUGUGCAAAAUCUGUACAAUUGAGGUUUUGUGCAGAGAUGAAGUCACGGAUGUUCUUUGGGACCUCUUGAACUUUAUGUUCUCUGCAUGAAUGGUAGAAAACACGAGUUCUGAUGAUUAGCUAUUUUCUUCUAAAAGUUAACUAUAUUCAGUACUCAGCAGAAUUUCAUUCCUGACACAAUUUUUAUGCAUGAAUGGGUUAUCAGCUCCUUUAGCACUCUCCAGUUCCACUAAAGAGAGCAGAAUGAACUAUUUUUUUCAGCCUCUGCACCUACAACUUUCUCUCAGAGACUCUUUUGUGUAGAACUGAAGGUCUGGAGCUUUAGCCUUUGAGUACCCCUUGUACAAUAAUGUUACAGCCCAUAUUUCCCACUCAAAUGAUGUGAUCCCUGAGCUCUCUGGAGCAGGCUGAAACUUUGCAAACAGUCUUGUCAACAGAGUCAGGAUGCCAGAGAGACUAGUGGUCAACCUGGCCAAAAAGUCUGUAAAUCUUUCCAUGACAUUCCUGUGAAAAUUGCAUUAGGGGGAAAAAUAAAAAAAAAAUAAUUUUUUUUUUUUUUUAAGGCAGAAAGAGUUUGUGUGGUAACUGCAGUAAAAAUGAAAUCAUAUUCAUUCUCCCAUCCAGCAUCACAGAGGCCAACCAUGCUAAUUCUUACACAUCAGUGCUCGGUUAUAAUCACAUUAUUUGCCUUGGCAAAACAGCUGGGAAAAAAAAGAGAAAUAUCACUGGGAAAGAAUGGGGACUUGGAUCAUAUUCCCAUGUCAUUUUUUUUUAAUGAUUUCCAUUAAAAGUAUAACUCCUGCUAAUAAAUUGUUAAGACUUAUAAAAACUAUGCUAAGAAAAACCUUCAAGAUAGAGAAAGAGAACAUAAAACCCUACCAGCAAAGAUGGAACUUACAUGUCUAAAAGUUUUAAUGUUGCUGUUUCUUUGCACUUUAGACCUUAUGAUGUUGAAAUAGUCAUUACACCUCCUUAUUCUGAAAGAUAUAUAGAUAUAGAUGCAUAUUUAUAGAAGUGUGCACAUAAAGAUAUAUAUGUAUAUAUAUAAAAUAUAUACAUAAAUAUAUAUACAUAAAAUAGGGUAAAGAAUACUCUUAGAUAUUGGGAAAGAUUCCUUCACUGAAAGGGUUGUCAAGCAAGGAACAGGCUGCCCAGGCAAGUGGUGCAGUCACCAUCCCUGAAGGGAUUUAAAAGAUGUAUAGAUGUGCCACUUGGGGACAUGUUCAGCGAUGGACUUGGCAGUGCUGGGUUAAUGGGGGUCUUUUCCAACAUAAAUGUUUCUAUGAUUCCAGUGGAAGAAUAUUUUUGUACUGGGUGUGAGAGGUCUGGGGAGCAUAUUACAGGUCUGAAAUUGGAUGAAUAGCUGUAUGAUAACACAUCCAAAUGUUGCUUUUAUAUAGCAGAGAUCCAAGGACUCAUAUUUCAUUCCAAAGGCAAAGGAAAUAUAAGUUCACUCUCAGCAUAAAUCCUGGGCAGCACCUACUCCCUCAUGGGGGUUGUGAAUCAUAGGUGAUGUGAAACACAAUGCUACAAGAGGAAAUUUCAGUAAUAUUUUUUUUAUCAUACUUAUCUCAAUCCUAAUGUGUUAUUCUUUGUACUUGACACAGGAACGUGUGUGAAAGUAGACUGUCCAAGAAAAAGAGUUUUGAAAUUUUUACUGACAAGGCACAUAGAGAGUAAAAGGACCCCCCAAAAAAUAAAGCAACUGUCUGGAUGCAGAGCACAAUUUCAAGUUCCUUCAUGAGGAGUCCAGUGUUCCCUGCAUUGAAUCAUUCAGCUGCCUACGGAAGCCAACCUCUCUGAGGGUAAAUCUUGUUAAUAUUUCCAUCCAUCACUGCAGUGUUCUUUGAUCAAGACAAAAAUAAAAGUCUUGGGAGAUAGAAGAAAAUGUUAGUUUUCUUGUAACAAUCUAGCAUUAACUCAUGCUAGCAUUACUAGCAUUAACUCAGGUAUUAGAGCAUGAAUGAGAUCUGCGUGGUUUGGUCCAAAGCUCUCUUAUAAUUCAUACAUGCUCCUGCUCCAGAUUCCUUAAACUCUUGUUUAAAAUCCAAUCCAUACUGUUUACCUAAGGAUUUUACAAACAGUAUUCUCGGUAUGAAAAGGUUAACAAUCACUGAAAAUUAGCAUAACUUCAAGAAUCAACUUGUUUGGAGAGCCAACUACGUCUGCAUUCUGCUAACAGUAAACACUAAUUAACAAUGUCUGCUAACACUAACAUAAAUCACAACUGUCCCUUUUCCUCUCCUGGCACUGCACUGGAAAGUAUCAAACCAGCAAAAAUAUUUGGAAUGUUUCUUACUUCUUUUAUUUUUUUAAAUUUUAUUUUAUUAAUGAUAAAAUAUUGAAUGUCAACAUGCAAUGCUUUGUGCAUUGCAUCAGACAGCUCAAACACUAAUUGUGAUGAAUGGGAGUGGAAGGGCCAAGGUUACAGGCAUUUAAGAAGGCUCUGUGGAUUGCAAAUAUUAGGAUUGAUUAAAGGUCAAAUACUUUAUGGAUUUAUCAGUUUUGUAUACAUUUUCUCAUGACAUAGAAUCACUUACACUACCUACAAAAUGAAAUAGAAAAGAGCUGCAAAUCAGAUAAUUUUUAAGUCUUUAUCCCACAUACAGGCUUAGUCAUUGAGAAUAAUUAAUGGCACAGAAAUGUUUUGAUUAGUCAAGCAAUAAACCAGACAACCCCCCCACAACCCACCCUUCAAUAAUUCUAGCUUUCCCCAGGUCAUAGGUAACAGUCUUUCUCAAUUAAUGUUUAAUAUUUACAAACACACAGUCUGGGAAAAGAUAUAUUCUUAUAGCGCUGCUUAAAAAUCUCUAUUUAUUUAAACCAACCACCCUUGGUCCAGAGAGGGUCUUUAACUAAACAGUUUACCCAUGCCCUGUCUUCCUUGUUUCUUGGGAAAACAGAAUUUGAGAUGGGUAUCUCUAUAUUGUCUUUGAUGCAAAGAAUUUUCUAGGAUCCAGACAAGUAAAUAAAUUACUGUCUCCAUUUGUAUCACACUGGAUUUGAACUGACCUUCCUGAAGUCUGUAUUUCAAUUGCCACAGAGCAGUAGAAGCUGGAUGUGCACAAUUUUUUGGGAAAAAGCCUUGGAUUUGGUGUUUUUGUUAAGAAGCUGUGCGAGGUGUCUCUGCUGGUCUCACCAACAUCAGGACUGAACCUUCAGCUCAAACGCUGAAACAUGCUUAUGUGUAGUACUUAUUUCAGGCAAGUGAAAUCCGUUUGAGACCAGUGGCUUCAUUCUUCUGCCUCAGAGGCUGAUGGAAUUGCUCUGCAGAGCUCUUUUUGCUGCCUUUGGAACUCCACCCCACAUGAGCCGACUUGAGGGCCACAUCCAGGGGCAUCUCUGUGUCCUUCCAGCACAGCUGCUGCCACCUCUAUGGUCAAAUCCUGACCUGGGAUUUGCAAUACGCUCUAUCUUUUGAAUGUUACUGAAAAAAAUAGAAGUAGCAACUUGGUAGGAAUCCCACCAUAGUCUUGCAGCUGCAUUUUAGUAGAGUCUUUGCUCUGUGUAUGUCUUUCACAAUUGACAAACAGCUGGGCAGGCUGAGCAAAGACAGAGGAAGGAGAGGGUUUUCAAAGCCAAAGCUUUUUUGUAGGUUGUUAUUUGCUCCUGUUGUUAAAAGUGCUCAUAAAGAUCAUCUCGUCCCACACUACUGACAAUCAUAUUCAGCAAAGAAACCCUCCAAGGUAUUUGGGUUUCCCAAAGAUGGUAUAAAUUGCAGCCUAAGUUACCACCUAAAGCUCAGAAUGGAGAAACAGUCAUCAGCUUAAUCAAGGGAUUCCAGAAGAAAGGCCUCUGUGGGACAGGUUACUGAUAUCCAGUUGUGCUGUUCAACAACUGAGCAAAUCUUGCUCUCAGUUACCCUGAGGGGUGUGAAAUCCAAGCCCAAAGGCUCUGUCCCCCACACCACUGAAAGGGCUGUUUGAAGAGGCAAGAUCAAUAGCAGUGAGAACAGGCAGAAUGUAUUGGGGGUAUCCACAGACACCUCUGAGGGGGAAGAAAUUUUUGCAUUUGAACAACUCCAGCAUUUCUCCAUCUUUCCUUCUGCAAAGAAGCCUUACUGGUUUCCUGAGAAUAUGGACAUGUAUUUUCCAGUCCAUAGCUUUUGGAUGCUUGCUAUAGAAACAAAGGUUUAGUUAAUCAAAAAAAGGCAACCAAGCCUAAAUUUUGGGCUCCACUAAAUGCCAAUUUGUUGCUAAUUAAGUUCUUUUAAAUUUGAUAGCAUCCUCUAAUGGGUGGGCAUACAAAAACUCAGACGUGUUUCCUCAGCAAGGAAGCUUUAAAGAAUAACACCCAUUUGGCACCGUAACAUUUGAUUAAAGAAGGCUCAGAUAUCCCAGCUGUAAAGGUUAAGCACAGACAUGUGUGUCACACAUGAUGCAGUCAGUAAAUGAUGUAAUGCUGAUAGACCCGUAACAACGAAAAACAUUCCAACACCAGAUUUUGGCAGAAAGUUUGGUACCAUAUAAAAUACAAUUAAAUGGCUAUAACUUCCAUGGCGUGAAAAUCAGUGUCCUGUAAAAAUAACACAAUACUAUCUAGAAACUUUCCAAAAUAUUUAUUUGCAUUUCAAACAACCGUUCUGCUUUUAAAAUUGCAUUUUCUUAAGCAGGUUUGUAGUGUGCAUGUUGGCUUUCAUAGUUUCAUUUUGGCAGGGUAAUGCUAUAAGCUGCAGGCUGUUUCUAAAACAUUUCAUCUUAUCACUGGCAUAAAAAAAACCUGCUUUUGCAGGAAAGGAGGUCUAGCAUGACUUUGUUUUUUUCUCAAAAUGAAAUUUAAUUUAUGUCACAGGAUUUCUGAUCCACUGAGAGUUUUCAGGGGGACUGAGUCAUACAGUAGUCCUAAAACUCACUAGGCAUGGGUGCCAAGUAAGCCACAGAUUUUUAAGGAAAAAAACAAAAUAGACUCUCUGUUACAUAGGAAAUGUGCAAUAUGAUUUUACUGAAGGCAGAUCAUCCAGACAGACCUUGUGACUUCAUUUAGAAAGUAAAUCAGUCUCCCAGGUAAUGAAAAAUCUCACCUGUCUGUGCUUCUGUACACGUUCAAUACCAUGAUGGACACUAAAUUAUUAGAAAUAUUGGGGGAAAACAAACCCCAAACAAACUAAAACCCCACAACAAACACCACAGUGAAAGGGACCAGGCUAACAGUAGUGAGUAGCUGAGAAAUGUUAUCAACUCCAUCAGAGCCCACUCAUGGCUACUCAGGGAAUUGCUUACAGUCAGGGCUGAGCAUGUUUGAUAUUUAUAGCCAUGGCUUCAGCACAAAAACAUGAAACUGUGCUGACAAAAUUUCCCAAUGACCAUGGUACUGGCAUGAAGUGUCAGAAUGACAUGUCAAAAGGCCUUGAUGUCCCCAGGUGUCACCCAAAAGAAAGUAAAUUGUUUUGUAUCAGAUGUAGUAUAAUAUAUUAAAGGAGAAUUAACAACUUCUGAUGUUAGCAGUGCAUUCAGAUGCCAGAAAUUUGUACUCUUUGGUUGUUUCUAUGGACCCAUGUUUCAAACCAGUCACAUAAUGCUAUUGAGCUGUCACUGGGAUGUAACCACUCCAAAAGCUAAAUGGGAUGGACCCAAGGCUCAUGCACAAGGUAUUUUCUACAGUGAAAUGAAAACAUGUGAGCACUUCACAAGCUAUUGCUGUGAUCUGUUAUGUCAAAACAUAUUGAUCUUGUCAACACUGCUUAAAGAGGGCCAAAGGAGCACUGGAGAAAUAGCUGGUGGGCAUGGCCUGGGAGGAAGAGUUUGUGGCAUCCUGUGAAAUCACCUUUCACAAGGUAUCAAUUAAACAACUCAACUUCAAGGAGAGGCAGGGACUUGUCUGAUUGCUCAAUGCAAUGCAGGACAGGGUUGAAAUUCCUUGUACCGAAUUGAGUGACCUGGCCAGAAAGCACAACCUAUCACAACACCAAGACCCUCAGCUGAAAAAUUACAUCUGUCCAAUUCCUUCUCAGCUGAAAAAUUGUUUUUGUUUGUUACCAAACCAAGCUGAUUUAAGACUCAGCUGAAGUAAAAAGCUUUGUAGCAAUUAUCCAUUAUUAAUAUCUUACUAAAUUUCAGUAACCCAAAGAAAAGGUGCAUUUUGGCUAUCAAUGCAUUAGAGAGACACUUUUCAAGUUUUGACCUAGCAACUCAAAAUUCAUUGACACAGCCCCAUAGCAGAUACAUCCCUUGAGAGUGUGAGUUCAUGCCUGGAAAUGACAGUAUUCUUUCUCAUACUCUUUCUCUAAGCAACCAGCAGACCCAAACUCAAUUUUGCUGUGUAUGAAGCCAAGUUUUAAAGUUGCUUUUAAUUUCUUAACAUGCACAGCCUAGUUA
rnacentral:lncRNA from 1 species